rnacentral:lncRNA from 1 species
UUUUUCUUGUGUACUUGAUCAUAUAAAAAUAAUAUACGUGCAAUUUUCAUCUCCUUUUUAUGUGAGUUUAACAAACAAUUAGUUCUAAAGAUGCUAAAUUAAUUUCAUUCUUUAUUAAUUUUUGUGCAAUUGUUUACAUCUUAUAAAGUAUAUUGAUUUUCUUGAACUGUAUUGCCAAAAUCCAUACAAUAACUUGUGUUACAGUUUAU